rnacentral:rRNA from 15 species
GAAGCCUGGUGCUUGCACCGGGUGGAUGAGUGGCGAACGGGUGAGUAACACGUGAGUAACCUGCCCCUGACUUCGGGAUAAGCCCGGGAAACUGGGUCUAAUACCGGAUACGACUGCCGGACGCAUGUCUGGUGGUGGAAAGUUUUUUCGGUUGGGGAUGGGCUCGCGGCCUAUCAGUUUGUUGGUGAGGUAAUGGCUCACCAAGACGACGACGGGUAGCCGGCCUGAGAGGGCGACCGGCCACACUGGGACUGAGACACGGCCCAGACUCCUACGGGAGGCAGCAGUGGGGAAUAUUGCACAAUGGGGGAAACCCUGAUGCAGCGACGCAGCGUGCGGGAUGACGGCCUUCGGGUUGUAAACCGCUUUCAGCAGGGAAGAAGCGCAAGUGACGGUACCUGCAGAAGAAGUACCGGCUAACUACGUGCCAGCAGCCGCGGUAAUACGUAGGGUACGAGCGUUGUCCGGAAUUAUUGGGCGUAAAGAGCUCGUAGGUGGUUGGUCACGUCUGCUGUGGAAACGCAACGCUUAACGUUGCGCGUGCAGUGGGUACGGGCUGACUAGAGUGCAGUAGGGGAGUCUGGAAUUCCUGGUGUAGCGGUGAAAUGCGCAGAUAUCAGGAGGAACACCGGUGGCGAAGGCGGGACUCUGGGCUGUAACUGACACUGAGGAGCGAAAGCAUGGGGAGCGAACAGGAUUAGAUACCCUGGUAGUCCAUGCCGUAAACGUUGGGCACUAGGUGUGGGGGGCAUUCCACGUUCUCCGCGCCGUAGCUAACGCAUUAAGUGCCCCGCCUGGGGAGUACGGUCGCAAGGCUAAAACUCAAAGGAAUUGACGGGGGCCCGCACAAGCGGCGGAGCAUGCGGAUUAAUUCGAUGCAACGCGAAGAACCUUACCAAGGCUUGACAUACACCGGACCGUCCUGGAAACAGGAUUUCUUCUUUGAAGCUGGUGUACAGGUGGUGCAUGGUUGUCGUCAGCUCGUGUCGUGAGAUGUUGGGUUAAGUCCCGCAACGAGCGCAACCCUCGUUCUAUGUUGCCAGCACGUGAUGGUGGGAACUCAUAGGAGACUGCCGGGGUCAACUCGGAGGAAGGUGGGGAUGACGUCAAAUCAUCAUGCCCUUUAUGUCUUGGGCUUCACGCAUGCUACAAUGGCUGGUACAGAGAGAGGCGAACCCGUGAGGGCAAGCGAAUCCCUUAAAGCCAGUCUCAGUUCGGAUCGUAGUCUGCAAUUCGACUACGUGAAGUCGGAGUCGCUAGUAAUCGCAGAUCAGCAACGCUGCGGUGAAUACGUUCCCGGGCCUUGUACACACCGCCCGUCAAGUCACGAAAGUCGGUAACACCCGAAGCCGGU